UACGGGGGGGGGCAAGCGUUGUUCGGAAUUACUGGGCGUAAAGGGCUCGUAGGCGGCCAACUAAGUCAGACGUGAAAUCCCCAGCUUAACCUGGGAACUGCGUCUGAUACUGGAUGGCUUUGAAUUCGGGAGAGGGAUGCAGAAUUCCAGGUGUAGCGGUGAAAUGCGUAGAUAUCUGGAGGAAUACCGGUGGCGAAGGCGGCAUCCUGGACCGAGAUUGACGCUGAUGAGCGAAAGCUAGGGGAGCAAACGGGGAUUAAGAAACCCGGGGUAGCC
rnacentral:rRNA from 1 species